CUACACAAUUACCUCUUAAAUAAAAUUCAGUUUCUCAGCCAACCACAAUUCUUACGUUUAAAAAAGCGUGUGUAGAAAAAUGUUAAUGGAGAUGUUAACGAUAAUAAGGAUCUAUCUUUAAUCUGGACUCACGAAGUCUCUUCCUUUAUACUUUAUUUACGAUCUUAGGCACUCAGUGUAACUGGCCCCUUUCCAGGACGCUGCUUCUACGCAAAGCACAUGGAUUUCAUUGUGAAGAAAAUACGGACACUUAAAGCCUUUCUAGGCUCCCUUCCCCCAAGGUAUUUUGCUAAUGUGUACCAGAACAUUCUUGAAAGGAGAAAAAAAGAAAAAAAGAGCGAGAAAGAAAUGCUUUGUGAAGAAAAGGAUCUGCCUGUAGGCAUUUCUAGCACUACUGCCUCCUGUUAAUUUGCAACCUAGUUAAGAGAACCGGAAACAGUUUGUUGUGUGCGGUGCUUUCUGGAACAGCUAACCUUCAUCUGAACACUUAGGACGCUCCAGCCACUGUGCUACGUUCUUCCUGUGGAUAAUGUCGUUUGCUGGGCACAACUACCCGAUAAGGAUGGAAAUUUAGAUGAUUUGUGAAAAAAUAAAAAUAAAACAAUAUCACCUCACGUCCAUCAAGAUGGCUACUACAACAAAAUAGCAAGUGUUGAAGAGGAUGUGGAGAAAUUGGAACUCUGUGCACUGGUGGUGGGAAUGUAAAAUAGUGCAACCGUUAUGGAAAAUGCCAAAAGAAUCCUUCCUAUCUGAUGAUGCUGUUCCUGUUUAACCUGAGGAGUCCUCAAUGAUCUCACAUGGAAUGGUUUUACAAGG